rnacentral:rRNA from 1 species
AGUGAACGCUGGCGGUAGGUCUAACACAUGCAAGUCGAACGGCAGCACAGUAAGAGCUUGCUCUUACGGGUGGCGAGUGGCGGACGGGUGAGGAAUACAUCGGAAUCUACUUUUUCGUGGGGGAUAACGUAGGGAAACCUACGCUAAUACCGCAUACGACCUACGGGUGAAAGCAGGGGAUCUUCGGACCUUGCGCGAUUGAAUGAGCCGAUGUCGGAUUAGCUAGUUGGCGGGGUAAAGGCCCACCAAGGCGACGAUCCGUAGCUGGUCUGAGAGGAUGAUCAGCCACACUGGAACUGAGACACGGUCCAGACUCCUACGGGAGGCAGCAGUGGGGAAUAUUGGACAAUGGGCGCAAGCCUGAUCCAGCCAUACCGCGUGGGUGAAGAAGGCCUUCGGGUUGUAAAGCCCUUUUGUUGGGAAAGAAAAGCAGCAGGUUAAUACCCCGCUGUUCUGACGGUACCCAAAGAAUAAGCACCGGCUAACUUCGUG